rnacentral:rRNA from 1 species
UACGAAGGGGGCUAGCGUUGCUCGGAAUCACUGGGCGUAAAGCGCACGUAGGCGGCUUCUUAAGUCAGGGGUGAAAUCCUGGAGCUCAACUCCAGAACUGCCCUUGAUACUGAGGAGCUCGAGUCCGGAAGAGGUGAGUGGAACUGCGAGUGUAGAGGUGAAAUUCGUAGAUAUUCGCAAGAACACCAGUGGCGAAGGCGGCUCACUGGCCCGGUACUGACGCUGAGGUGCGAAAGCGUGGGGAGCAAACAGG